rnacentral:rRNA from 1 species
GUACACACCGCCCGUCACACCAUGGGAGUGGGUUUCACCAGAAGUAGGUAGCCUAACCGCAAGGAGGGCGCUUACCACGGUGGGAUUCAUGACUGGGGCGAAGUCGUAACAAGGUAGCCGUAGGUGAACCUGCAGAAGGAUCA